UUCCUGAUAUUUGGACACCUAGACCCCAGAUCGGGUAACAGCAACACAACUCUACCACUGACUUGCAACAUGGACCUUUUAUCUCCACGAACACCACAAGUCUGGAUGAAUUCUACCGUGCAGUGAAGUUGAUAAUGCUUAAGACAACCACUCCCUGCAAACAGUCAACAUCGCAUGGACGUGCAGAUCAUGUCUAUAUCGAGUCCGUUGGUUUAGACCACGUCUGUCGGACCUCCAAACUAAGUCUUUGCACGGCUGAUUACCGGAAUUUAAAACUGUCUUCACCAUCGUGAGCCCAGAUGGGCUGAGACGACCGAGUGCAACGAGGCCUGUUGUUCCACCAACAGCUGCCCAAGCCAGUGCUCCACUGGUCCCUGUGCCAUGACAGAGUUCUACAUUUAGAUGUAUCCCACCUGUUUGUCAGCAAGGAACCCAGGACCAUCAAACUAUCCUCCAGGUUGGUAAAAACCUCGGAUGUCUCUGCCCCUUUCAGCAUCAAUUCUCCUCUAUUCUUAAAAGU